rnacentral:rRNA from 1 species
AUCAACUUUCGAUGGUAGGAUAGAGGCCUACCAUGGUGGUAACGGGUAACGGGGUGUUAGGGCACGACACCGGAGAGGGAGCCUGAGAAACGGCUACCACAUCCAAGGAUGGCAGCAGGCGCGCAAAUUACCCAAUCCCGACACGGGGAGGUAGUGACAAUAAAUAACAAUACGGGGUUCUUUCGGAUUUCGUAAUUGGAAUGAGUACAAUUUAAAUCUCUUAACGAGGAACAAUUGGAGGGCAAGUCUGGUGCCAGCAGCCGCGGUAAUUCCAGCUCCAAUAGCGUAUAUUAAAGUUGUUGCAGUUAAAAAGCUCGUAGUUGAAUUUCGGGGUCAGUAGGUCGGUCAUGCCACUGGUAUGCACUGGUCUCACUGAUUCCUCCUUCCUGAUGAACCGUAAUGCCAUUAAUUUGGUGUUGCGGGGAGACUGGACUGUUACUUUGAAAAAAUUAGAGUGUUUAAAGCAGGCUAACGCUUGAAUACAUUAGCAUGGAAUAACGGAAUAGGACGUUCGAUCUUAUUUUGUUGGUUUCUAAGAUUGACGUAAUGAUUAAUAGGGAUAGUUGGGGGCAUUAGUAUUCAAUUGUCAGAGGUGAAAUUCUUGGAUUUAUUGAAGACUAACUACUGCGAAAGCAUUUGCCAAGGAUGUUUUCAUUAAUCAAGAACGAAAGUUAGGGGAUCGAAGACGAUCAGAUACCGUCGUAGUCUUAACCAUAAACUAUGCCGACUAGGGAUCGGAUGAUGUUAAUUUUUUAAUGACUCAUUCGGCGCCUUACGGGAAACCAAAGUGUUUGGGUUC